GAAGGGUGCAAGCGUUACUCGGAAUUACUGGGCGUAAAGCGUGCGUAGGUGGUUCGUUAAGUCUGAUGUGAAAGCCCUGGGCUCAACCUGGGAAUGGCAUUGGAUACUGGCGACCUAGAGUGCGGUAGAGGGGUGUGGAAUUCCCGGUGUAGCAGUGAAAUGCGUAGAUAUCGGGAGGAACAUCUGUGGCGAAGGCGACACCCUGGACCAGCACUGACACUGAGGCACGAAAGCGUGGGGAGCAAACAGGAUUAGAUACCCUGGUAGUCCACGCCCUAAACGAUGCGAACUGGAAGUUGGGGACAACUUGGUCCUCAGUUUCGAAGCUAACGCGUUAAGUUCGCCGCCUGGGAAGUACGGUCGCAAGACUG
rnacentral:rRNA from 1 species